UGAUCCAGCAAUGCAGCGUGAGUGACGAAGGCCUUAGGGUUGUAAAACUCUUUCAUCGGUGAGGAUAAUGACAGUAGCCGAAGAAGAAGGACCGGCUAAUUCCGUGCCAGCAGCCGCGGUAAUACGGAAGGUCCUAGCGUUGUUCGGAAUUACUGGGCGUAAAGCGCAUGUAGGCGGAACAGAAAGUUAGAAGUGAAAUCCCUGGGCUCAACCUAGGAAUUGCUUUUAAAACUUCUGUUCUGGAAUUCAGGAGAGGAAAAUGGAAUUUCCAGUGUAGAGGUGAAAUUCGUAGAUAUUGGAAGGAACACCAGUGGCGAAGGCGAUUUUCUGGACUGAUAUUGACGCUGAGAUGCGAAGGCAUGGGUAGCAAACGGGAUUAGAUACCCCGGUAGUCCAUGCAGUAAACGAUGGGUGCUAGUCGUCGGACUUUUGUUCGGUGUCGUAGCUAACGCGUUAAGCACCCCGCCUGGGGAGUACGGUCGCAAGAUUAAAACUCAAAUAAAUUGACGGGGACCCGCACAAGCAGUGGAGCAUGUGGUUUAAUUCGACGCAACGCGAAGAACCUUACCAGCGUUUGACAUGGAAAGUACCGGUUACAGAAUGGUAACCUUCAGUUCGGCUGGCUUUCACACAGGUGCUGCAUGGCUGUCGUCAGCUCGUGUCGUGAGAUGUUGGGUUAAGUCCCGCAACGAGCGCAACCCUUAUCGUUAGUUACUAACAGUUCGGCUGAGGACUCUAGCGAAACUGCCGGUGAUAAGCCGGAGGAAGGUGGGGAUGACGUCAAGUCCUCAUGGCCCUUACACGCUGGGCUACACACGUGCUACAAUGGUAACUACAACGGGACGCAAUACCGCGAGGUGGAGCAAAUCCCCAAAA
rnacentral:rRNA from 1 species